GACUCUUGGCAACAGAUAUCUUGGCUCUUGCAUCGAUGAAAAAUGUAGCAACAUGAAACUUUGUGUGAAUUGCAGAAUCCCGUGAACCAUCGAGUCUUUGAACGCAAGUUGCGCCCAACCCUUCUGGCCGAGGGCACGUCUGCUUGGGUGUCA
rfam:Brassica napus, WGS project CCCW01000000 data, contig: 8243